rnacentral:rRNA from 1 species
AUUGAACGCUGGCGGCAGGCUUAACACAUGCAAGUCGAGCGGGGAAAGGUAGCUUGCUACCUGACCUAGCGGCGGACGGGUGAGUAAUGCUUAGGAAUCUGCCUAUUAGUGGGGGACAACAUCUCGAAAGGGAUGCUAAUACCGCAUACGUCCUACGGGAGAAAGCAGGGGACCUUCGGGCCUUGCGCUAAUAGAUGAGCCUAAGUCGGAUUAGCUAGUUGGUGGGGUAAAGGCCUACCAAGGCGACGAUCUGUAGCGGGUCUGAGAGGAUGAUCCGCCACACUGGGACUGAGACACGGCCCAGACUCCUACGGGAGGCAGCAGUGGGGAAUAUUGGACAAUGGGGGGAACCCUGAUCCAGCCAUGCCGCGUGUGUGAAGAAGGCCUUUGGGUUGUAAAGCACUUUAAGCGAGGAGGAGGCUACCGAGAUUAAUACUCUUGGAUAGUGGACGUUACUCGCAGAAUAAGCACCGGCUAACUCUGUG